rnacentral:rRNA from 1 species
CUAGUGUCGUUGUGCAGAUCCGAAUGGACUGUCGGCGGUGCUCUGCUCGUCGCAACGGUUGCACUUCUCCUCGUUGGUGCGUCAGCAAAUGUUGGGACUGGCUGAAAUGCUCCGCUCGAAGGUAGCUGGCUCCGGCUGGUGUUAUAGCGAGUGGAUGUCUGAGUCAGGCCCGACAUAGGAGUCGCGGCACAUGCCCUCGUGGCUGGCCCCUUGCGUCUCACUGAGUUGUCGAGCAUAGCAGACUACUUGUAGUGUGUUUGAACUGCUGCUCUUUGAGGCGUGAGUCGGGUACAAAUGUGCCAAGGUUGUUGGCGGUCAAAUGAUUUCAUACGACCCGUCUUGAAACACGGACCAAGGAGUCUAACAUGUGUGCGAGUCUUAGAGUGACAGAAACUCGACGGCGCAAUGAAAGUGAACAGCCCAGCUGUUGGUGAGAUCCGUGUCCUCUCGGGGGCGCGGCGCAUCAUCGACCGACUUAGUAUACUCUUAUACAGGUUUGAGUAAGAGCACAUAUGCUGGGACCCGAAAGAUGGUGAACUAUGCUUGAGUAGGGUGAAGCCAGAGGAAACUCUGGUGGAGGCUCGUAGCGAUUCUGACGUGCAAAUCGAUCGUCAAACUUGUGCAUAGGGGCGAAAGACUAAUCGAACCAUCUAGUAGCUGGUUCCCUCCGAAGUUUCCCUUAGGAUAGCUGGAACUCGGAGAAACAGUUUCAUCCGGUAAAGCGAAUGAUUAGAGGCCUUAGGGAUGAAACAUCCUUAACCUAUUCUCAAACUUUCAAUGGGUGAGAAGUCUGACCUGCCUAAUAGAGGCCAGACAAUGAAUGAAUGAGUUCCAAGUGGGCCAUUUUUGGUAAGCAGAACUGGCGAUGCGGGAUGAACCGAACGUAGAGUUAAGGCGCCUAAAUCGACGCUCAUCAGACCCCACAAAAGGUGUUGGUUGAUCCAGACAGCAGGACGGUGGCCAUGGAAGUCGGAAUCCGCUAAGGAGUGUGUAACAACCCACCUGCCGAAUCAACUAGCCCUGAAAAUGGAUGGCGCUCAAGCGUCGUGCCUAUACUCUACCCUCGUGGUAAGAUUAGCCGACCGCGAGGAGUAGGAGGGCGUGGAGGUUGUCACGAAGCCUUUGGCGCGAGCCUGGGUGGAACGGCCUCUAGUGCAGAUCUUGGUGGUAGUAGCAAAUAUUCAAAUGAGAACUUUGAAGGCCGAAGUGGAGAAAGGUUCCAUGUGAACAGCAGUUGGACAUGGGUUAGUCGAUCCUAAGAGAUAGGCAAACGCUGUGUCAAAGUGUCUAAUCCGUUAGACCGUACAUCGAAAGGGAAUCAGGUUAAUAUUCCUGAACCGGAACGCGGAUUUCUGUACUCUCGGGUGCAGUAAUACGGCAACGUAAAUGAACCCAGAGACGCCGGCAGGGACCCCGGGAAGAGUUCUCUUUUCUUGUUAACAGUCCAACACCAUGGAAGUUGUUUGCCAAGAGAUAUGGUCCACGGACUGGUAAAGCUCUACACCUCUUGUAGAGUCCGGUGCGUUCCUGAAGGCCCUUGAAAAUCUGGGGGAAAGAUUCAUUUUCGCGUCCGCUCGUACUCAUAACCGCAGCAGGUCUCCAAGGUGAGCAGCCUCUGGCCGAUAGAACA